rnacentral:rRNA from 1 species
AACGAACGCUAGCGGCGUGCUUAACACAUGCAAGUCGAACGAGUGGCGGACGGGUGAGUAACACAUCGGAACGUACCCAGUAAUGGGGGAUAACUGUCCGAAAGGACAGCUAAUACCGCAUACUAUUCGAGCGGCCGAUGUCGGAUUAGCUGGUUGGCGGGGUAAAGGCCCACCAAGGCGACGAUCAGUAGCGGGUCUGAGAGGACGACCAGCAACACUGGGACUGAGACACGGCCCAAACUCCGACGGGAGGCAGCGGUGGGAAAUUUUGGACAAUGGGGGCAACCCUGAUCCAGCCAUGCCGCGUGUAUGAGGAAGGCCUUCGGGUUGUAAAGGACGUUUGUCAGGGAAGCGGUAUCUGAAGAAUAAGCACCGGCUAACUACGUGCCAGCAGCCGCGGUAAUAC